rnacentral:misc_RNA from 1 species
CCGACCCCAACACGUGCUGAGGUAAUAUGCCACAAAAUCUCCAGAGAAAGGGGGAGAAAAUCUACAGAAAAUUAAAAGCGUUUUAUUGUAUGAUAUUAUAUUGAAAAUAUAAUAAAGUCAAAGAAAACAAAACACAAUUUGAUGGGCUGAAUACAAAGAAGGCUACCUCAAAUGAGAAAUCACAAACCAAGAUAUUGAAUCAAUCAAGUUGCAUAAAAGAACGGAAAAUUUUUGGUUGCAAGAGAUGUUUGUAACUUCAUUUUCACUUUAAUUGGAGUUAAAUGGUUUCCCUUCACGUGGCACGGUGAGAUUUUCAGGUUUUUCACUUGACUUGAAGUGUUUGAAUGGUGAGAUGAUAGAGCUUUUAGUGAGAUUGAGGCAUCUCUUUCUGAUUAAGAUGCCUUUUCUUGGAAACUUGCUUUCUAAUUUGCAGCUCAUGCUGUUCUUUAUCUAAAGGACAAUAAUAUCACCUAGUAAACUUAUUACUGAAAUUUCAUUUUGUGAUUUUCUUCUGUGCUACAAUAAGGUGGCAGAUGUUUCUGAAGCAGUUCGACAAUAUGCCGACGCAUUGAUGUUGUCUGGUGAGUCAGCUAUUGGAUCAUAUGGAGAGAAAGCUCUUUCUGUCUUGCGGAUGGUCAGCAAUCGAAUGGAACU